rnacentral:rRNA from 1 species
CUACGGGAGGCUCCAGUGAGGAAUAUUGCACAAUGGGGGCAACCCUGAUGCAGCAACGCCACGUGGAGGAUGACGCAUUUCGGUGUGUAAACUCCUUUUAUCAGAGAAGAACCAUGACGGUAUCUGAUGAAUAAGCUCCGGCUAACUCCGUGCCAGCAGCCGCGGUAAUACGGAGGGAGCAAGCGUUAUUCGGAAUCACUGGGCGUAAAGGACGCGUAGGCCGGUCUGUAAGUCAGGUGUGAAAUGCAAUGGCUCAACCAUUGAACUGCACUUGAAACUGCGGACCUAGAGUAUGGAAGGGGCAGAUGGAAUUAGUGGUGUAGGGGUAAAAUCCGUAGAUAUCACUAGGAAUACCGAAAGCGAAGGCGAUCUGCUGGGACAUAACUGACGCUGAGGCGCGAAAGCGUGGGGAGCAAUCAGGAUUAGAUACCCCGGUAGUC